rnacentral:rRNA from 1 species
CCUACGGGAGGCAGCAGUGGGGAAUAUUGGGCAAUGGACGCAAGUCUGACCCAGCAACGCCGCGUGAAGGAAGAAGGCUUUCGGGUUGUAAACCUCUUUUAAUGGGGAAGAGCAGAAGACGGUACCCCUUCAAUAAGCCACGGCUAACUACGGGCCAGCAGCCGCGGGCAUACGUAGGUGGCAAGCGUUGUCCGGAUUUACUGGGUGUAAAGGGCGUGCAGCCGGAGAGACAAGUCAGAUGUGAAAUCCACGGGCUCAACCCGUGAACUGCAGUUGAAACUGUUACCCUUGAGUGUCAGAGAGGUAAUCGGAAUGCCUGGUGUAGCGGUGAAAUGCGUAGAUAUAAGGAAGAACACCAAUGGCGAAGGCAGAUUACUGGACGAUAACUGACGCUGAGGCACGAAGGCCAGGGGAGCGAACGGGAUUAGAUACCCUGGUAGUC